rfam:Gossypium hirsutum cultivar TM-1 scaffold10393.1_1, whole genome shotgun sequence
UAUUAAAAAUUUUAUCUAUUUGUAUUAUUAAAAUUUAUUGUGAUUGAUGGAAUAACUAGGCAGUGGCAUGUGGCAUGUCACGUGUACCUCAUAUUGAUGUACAAGAAUCAAUUUUUAACUGCAGAAAUGAAUAGAAUUUUAAAUA